GCAAAGGCUGCUGAGUAGCGUCGCGCUAAGGGCGCUUUUUGCUGGAAAAGGUUGUGUUUUAAAGUUUAGUUACUUCUUUCACCUUUUCUUUCAUCAUUUAGCAUUUAUUUAACAUUGUAAGUGUAGAAUAUUGAUCUUGCGAUUAAAGGUGUUCAGACACUUUAAUUUUUAGAGAUGAUCAUGGGACAAGUAGACCUAGUGAUACCAAUAAAUAUGUCCGGAAUCAUUGAACGUUCGACAAACUUUUGCAAUCCGCAACAUUCAACAGUUCGACGUGCUCUGUUUGGUCCCGUUGAUCACGAGCAAAACUUGUGGUUUGUACGUGAAGAGCUGAGCAGGAUACAGCAAGAAGACGAACAAAGGUGGAAUUUUAAGUUUAAAACCGAAACACCAACAGAUGGUCGGUAUGAGUGGACACCGGUGGAAAACGGGGAAGAAGUACACCCAUCUUAUGGACUGAAGAGAGUAGGCCUACUACGCUGUAGGAAACACGAGGAAAGAGAAGAUAGUUUCACAGACGCUCAAGAUGCAAAGUUCAAUUUUAAUCCUGGCACAGAGUCUAGACCAUCGUCGAAAUCAUUUAGAAAUGAAAGUGGAAAUACAAAACUGCAACAGAAGAAAAUAUCAGAAUACUUGAAGAAGAGAAAACAUUCAACUAAAAGUUCCACAAGUUACAAUACUAAGGGUACUUCACCCGCAACAAAGAUUCAACGAACGACAGUUUCAAAAUCUGUGAAAAACCAACUUUCCCAAUAGUCAUGGUAAUUGCCCUGAUACCUCAACUACCAAAGAAAACUGCGUGGUGCGGCCAGUAAAACUAGGCCAAUGAUCUCAUCUUCUUCUCACGUGGCUGGUUCUUCGAUAUUUACUUCAAGAGGGAAGAUGAUAAAUUGUCAGUAUAAUCGCCGCUCCCUUGCGGAAAAUUUUCACUUCAUCAGCUUUAAAAUUGAAGAAUCACAGUGUAUGAAAUAAGUAAAACGGAAAUUAUUUUUUCUUUUUAAGUCUAUACUAGUGUUAUAACCAUGUGUUUAUUGUAGGCUGUAUUAGGUAAAGAUGAGAGACGUGCUUUAUUCUUGUGGCGUGCAUAAAGGACAAUAACAUGUUUUGGCAAAACGUAUUGGAGCUGUUUUAGCUUUAGCUAUAUAUGUAUACGCUAUGAAAGGUUCCAAACCUUUAGUUGUCAGUUGUUUUUAUUUAUUCUAUACUCUAAUAAUUUGGAGCUUAACAAACUCAACAGAACUAAUCAUGAUUAGAAACAUAGUGAAGAACAUACUAACGUUUCCAGUCUGUAUUCACAUGUGGUGUAAUAUUUAUCACUUUCAUGCAAGAAGAAUGACGUUCUAACAAGCCGACUGGGUAUAAGUCUAUUGGAUAAGUUUGCUGUCAUGGUAACCAAUCAGUCGGGUAAAGACAACUGUUUUAGUAACAAGGUGAAUUCAGCUGUUGGGGAAACCUUUAAUGUAAAUACAGUUUUUAUAAUAUAACUUAACUUGCCAAACUUAAAUGAAUAAAAUAUCUUAUCUUACAAUUUCAGUGAAAUACUUGUUUCAUACGUUUGUCUAACCACGCCACCCAUGUAGCAUUCAAGAUGUAAAAUGUGCUAAAAAUUAUAGAUUUAGACUGUUUCUCUAUGUACAUAUAUAUACAUGUAUAUACAUAAGUGUGGUAAUGGAUAACUUUAAUUUAAUGUAGAUCAUGUUAUUCAUACUUCUUUUGUUAUUACUGACACAACCAGUAAUGUCAGCUGAGCAUAAUGAUCUCAACUAAUUAUCAGAAUUGAGGUCCUGCUUAUAGUCUUGCAAAAUUUAGAGUAGAAGGACCUCUUGGAGUUUUUUUUUAUGUAUACUAAUGUACAUAAAUAAAAGAUUGUAUUUACUGGGGUAACCAGAAUUUUAAUUUUACAUGUGAACUUGUCUCAGUGUUGCUUGUGGAAUGAUUAAAGACUUCGUAAGUGCACAAGUAAUGUGAAAAAUCUAAAAUCAUUCAUUAAACACUUUCAGGCCAAAGCAAAUUUCACUCACAAGUUCAGGGGGAAGUGAAACUUAGAGUAAGAAGUUUAUUAACUUCAGCAUUUCUUAAUGAAUCAACCCAAAACUUUGGUAUUCAGCAGCCAUCCUAAAAAACUCAUUUCUUAACAUCAAAAGCAAAACUGGUGUAAGAUGUAUUAUUAUAAUACGUGAGUCUCAAACCUGAAGGAAUUUCUACACAGUAUUCUAUAAACUUUAUUAACGUAAUAAAACAUAGAAAUUCUACUCCUAUUAAUGGUCCUUGACUUCAUAGAAUGAGCCUAUCUGUAUAUCUUGGACAAACACUGGAUAUCUAUAUAUAUAUAUAUUUAUUCCUUAUCAUAAGUUAGGGGAAACUGUACUGCAGGUUUGGAAGAAUAUUGGCUCAGCUCAAAUUUCCAAAUGAUCUCACUAAAGUAAUUUAUAUUUUUGUAGAAUACAAAUAGUCAAUGAAGAAGCUUUCUCAUUCACAGAGCAUGAAAGAAAGAGCUCCAGGUGAAAAAUAAUACUUCAUUCCAUUUUUACAAACCAAAUUUAUUUUGAAGACAACUGUAGGGGUGGGUGGGAUAUGUCAGUUGUAUUCAGUUCUUUUUUAUAGUUAAAUUUUUAUGAUUAACGUGAUAUGGUCUGAACCUUUGGUUUACCUUCCAACCAGUGUAGUCAUUUGAAAACACACUGGGACCAUUAACACUUGUUUGUGUUCUUUUUGUUGUUUCUGUAAAUAAAGACAGUUUUCAUCCUUUU